GGGGACGUAAUGGUUUCGACAGGGGUCUUGCAGCUGGAGAAGCUAUCCGAAGGCGAUGGCGUCAAAUCGCAAAACUAAAAUUAAACGCUGAAGAUAAUUUAGCAUUCGCUGCCUAAUGGCAGCUGUCUGACUUAAUGCACCUACACAUUAAGACCCAGGCAUCGACUAUGUAGGAAACGACAUAUACUAAGCUUUGCGUAUAUGGGCGUAUCAUGAAGCUACCGAAAUCUGCCAGGUGUCAGUUCCCGGCAGAUGGAGGGAAUCCCAAAUAACUGACUAUGAUAGUAGAAGGACAGGGAAUAGGCUUUUGGACACGGGUUCGACUCCCGUCGUCUCCACUG
rfam:Firmicutes bacterium CAG:194 genomic scaffold, scf8